rnacentral:rRNA from 1 species
GACGAACGCUGGCGGCGUGCUUAACACAUGCAAGUCGAACGAUGAACCACUUCGGUGGGGAUUAGUGGCGAACGGGUGAGUAACACGUGGGCAAUCUGCCCUGCACUCUGGGACAAGCCCUGGAAACGGGGUCUAAUACCGGAUACUGACCCUCGCAGGCAUCUGCGAGGUUCGAAAGCUCCGGCGGUGCAGGAUGAGCCCGCGGCCUAUCAGCUUGUUGGUGAGGUAACGGCUCACCAAGGCGACGACGGGUAGCCGGCCUGAGAGGGCGACCGGCCACACUGGGACUGAGACACGGCCCAGACUCCUACGGGAGGCAGCAGUGGGGAAUAUUGCACAAUGGGCGAAAGCCUGAUGCAGCGACGCCGCGUGAGGGAUGACGGCCUUCGGGUUGUAAACCUCUUUCAGCAGGGAAGAAGCGAAAGUGACGGUACCUGCAGAAGAAGCGCCGGCUAACUACGUGCCAGCAGCCGCCGUAAUAC